GACGAACGCUGGCGGCGUGCUUAACACAUGCAAGUCGAACGGAAAGGCCCUGCUUUUGUGGGGUGCUCGAGUGGCGAACGGGUGAGUAACACGUGAGUAACCUGCCCUUGACUUUGGGAUAACUUCAGGAAACUGGGGCUAAUACCGGAUAGGAGCUCCUGCUGCAUGGUGGGGGUUGGAAAGUUUCGGCGGUUGGGGAUGGACUCGCGGCUUAUCAGCUUGUUGGUGGGGUAGUGGCUUACCAAGGCUUUGACGGGUAGCCGGCCUGAGAGGGUGACCGGCCACAUUGGGACUGAGAUACGGCCCAGACUCCUACGGGAGGCAGCAGUGGGGAAUAUUGCACAAUGGGCGGAAGCCUGAUGCAGCAACGCCGCGUGCGGGAUGACGGCCUUCGGGUUGUAAGCCGCUUUCGCCUGUGACGAAGCGUGAGUGACGGUAAUGUGUAAAGAAGCACCGGCUGACUACGUG
rnacentral:rRNA from 1 species